GACGCAGGGGGCUAGCGUUGUUCGGAAUUACUGGGCGUAAAGCGAGUGUAGGUGGUUGUCCAAGUUGGAUGUGAAAGCCUUGAGCUCAACUCAAGAAAUGCAUUCAGGACUGGGCGGCUAGAGGACCGGAGAGGAUAGUGGAAUUCCCAGUGUAGUGGUGAAAUACGUAGAGAUUGGGAAGAACACCAGUGGCGAAGGCGGCUAUCUGGACGGUUUCUGACACUAAGACUCGAAAGCGUGGGGAGCAAACAGG
rnacentral:rRNA from 1 species